AGUGGUAGCUCAAUCGGUAGGGCGCAGCCCUGUGAUGCACACGUCGCUUGCGAUGCGGGUUCAAAUCCUACCAGA
rnacentral:tRNA from 14 species